UAAACCAUGCACCGAAGCUGCGGCAGCGACGCGAAUGCGUUGUUGGGUAGGGGAGCGUUCUGUAAGCCGUCGAAGGUGGACUGUGAGGUCUGCUGGAGGUAUCAGAAGUGCGAAUGCUGACAUAAGUAACGAUAAAGCGGGUGAAAAGCCCGCUCGCCGGAAGACCAAGGGUUCCUGUCCAACGUUAAUCGGGGCAGGGUGAGUCGACCCCUAAGGCGAGGCCGAAAGGCGUAGUCGAUGGGAAACAGGUUAAUAUUCCUGUACUCGGUGUUACUGCGAAGGGGGGACGGAGAAGGCUAUGUUGGCCGGGCGACGGUAGUCCCGGUUUAAGCGUGUAGGUGUGUGUUCCAGGCAAAUCCGGUUCACUUUACACUGAGGCGUGAUGACGAGGCACCACGGUGCUGAAGCAACAAAUGCCCUGCUUCCAGGAAAAGCCUCUAAGCAUCAGGUAACACAGAAUCGUACCCCAAACCGACACAGGUGGUCAGGUAGAGAAUACCAAGGCGCUUGAGAGAACCCGGGUGAAGGAACUAGGCAAAAUGGUGCCGUAACUUCGGGAGAAGGCACGCUGGUGCGUAGGUGAAGUCACUUGCUGACGGAGCUGAAGCCAGUCGAAGAUACCAGCUGGCUGCAACUGUUUAUUAAAAACACAGCACUGUGCAAACACGAAAGUGGACGUAUACGGUGUGACGCCUGCCCGGUGCCGGAAGGUUAAUUGAUGAGGUUAUCCGUAAGGAGAAGCUUUGAUCGAAGCCCCGGUAAACGGCGGCCGUAACUAUAACGGUCCUAAGGUAGCGAAAUUCCUUGUCGGGUAAGUUCCGACCUGCACGAAUGGCGUAAUGAUGGCCAGGCUGUCUCCACCCGGGACUCAGUGAAAUUGAACUCGCUGUGAAGAUGCAGUGUACCCGCGGCAAGACGGAAAGACCCCGUGAACCUUUACUACAGCUUGACACUGAACACUGAGCCUUGAUGUGCAGGAUAGGUGCUUUUCUGGAAAGAACCACUGUUUUACUUAACCUUUCUCCGUUAAUGGCAGAAUGGGAUGUCCCAUACGUCAGUCAAACUACCACCAGACACUGUCCCCGCGCCGGAUCACGGCGCAAGGUUAGAACACCAAACAUUAAAGGGUGGUAUUUCAAGGAUGGCUCCGCGCAGACUGGCGUCCACGCUUCAAAGCCUCCCACCUAUCCUGCACAUCAAGGCUCAGUGUUCAGUGUCAAGCUGUAGUAAAGGUUCACGGGGUCUUUCCGUCUUGCCGCGGGUACACUGCAUCUUCACAGCGAGUUCAAUUUCACUGAGUCCCGGGUGGAGACAGCCUGGCCAUCAUUACGCCAUUCGUGCAGGUCGGAACUUACCCGACAAGGAAUUUCGCUACCUUAGGACCGUUAUAGUUACGGCCGCCGUUUACCGGGGCUUCGAUCAAAAGCUUCUCCUUACGGAUAACCUCAUCAAUUAACCUUCCGGCACCGGGCAGGCGUCACACCGUAUACGUCCACUUUCGUGUUUGCACAGUGCUGUGUUUUUAAUAAACAGUUGCAGCCAGCUGGUAUCUUCGACUGGCUUCAGCUC
rnacentral:rRNA from 1 species